UUUAGGCCUUUCAAACUGAAUGGAUCACCUAGCUCGGCCGGCCCAUGUCAGUGAUGUGUUCAUUUUUGUCAAAAUUUGCUGAUUACAGUCAUACGUGUUAAGCCGGUUGGAUCGCUUUGGUUGCUCAACAAAAUAGGACCUUGGAGUUCUGUAGAAGUUCUUUGAGGAUUAUUCGUUUUCAAGAUGGCGGCCGCAGUACUAGCACCUGGUGACUAUGCAGCUAUCGUGUGUUACUUCGUGAUAGUUAUGGGAGCAGGGCUAUACGCACUUUUUACAUCUAACCGAGGAACUGUUAACGGCUACUUCUUGGCGGGAAGGUACAUGACAUGGCUUCCAGU